UAAUGAGGGGAGGAAAAGAAACUAACAAGGAUUUUCCUAGUAGCGGCGAGCGAAAAGAAAAUAGUUCAGCACUAAGUCACUUUGUCUUUAUGGCAAAUGUGAGAUGCAGUGUAUGGAAUGUCAAAUUUCUAGUAUGAGAAAUUAACGAUUUAAGUCCUUCUUAAAUGAGGCCAUUUACCCAUAGAGGGUGCCAGGCCCGUAUAACGUUAAUGAUUACUAGAUGGCAUUUCCAAAGAGUCGUGUUGCUUGAUAGUGCAGCACUAAGUGGGUGGUAAACUCCAUCUAAAACUAAAUAUAACCAUGAGACCGAUAGUAAACAAGUACCGUGAGGGAAAGUUGAAAAGAACUCUGAAUAGAGAGUUAAAUAGUACGUGAAACUGCUUAGAGGUUAAGCCCGAUGAACUUGAAUAUCCAUUAUAGAAAAUUCAUCAUUAUGAUUUAUAAUAUAUAAAUAAUAUUAUAAUAAUAGUGUGCAUUUUUUCUAUAUAAAGGACAUUGUAAUCUAUUAACAUUAAUGCAAGGAUUUAUCAUAAGAUCAUUUGCAAAAGUUUAUUCAAAUUAUUUUGCUUGCAAUUUAACAUAGAAUAAAUGCUUAUGAUUUGAUAAAGUGUUGAUAGAUUUAUUAUAAUAUAGUGCUUAAAUUUAUUUAUAAAUUUUAUAAUAGCAUAUUAAUCAAUGAUUUUUAUGUUUAUUAUAUGCACUUAUAUGAUUAACAAUGCGAAAGAUUCAGGAUACCUUCGGGACCCGUCUUGAAACACGGACCAAGGAGUCUAACAUAUUUGCAAGUUAUUGGGAAUAAAAACCUAAUAGCGAAAUUAACAUAACUUAUAUAAUGGGAUUAGUUUUUAGACUAUUUAUAGUCUAUUAAUUCAAUCCCGGGGCGUUCUAUACAGUUAUGUAUAAUAAUAUUUAUAUUAUUUAUACCUCUAACUAGAGCGUACCUUGAGCAUAUAUGCUGUGACCCGAAAGAUGGUGAACUAUACUUGAUCAGGUUGAAGUCAGGGGAAACCCUGAUGGAAGACCGAAACAGUUCUGACGUGCAAAUCGAUUGUCAGAAUUGAGUAUAGGGGCGAAAGACCAAUCGAACCAUCUAGUAGCUGGUUCCCUCCGAAGUUUCCCUCAGGAUAGCUGGUGCAUUUAAAACUUAUGUAAAAUAAUCUUAUCUGGUAAAGCGAAUGAUUAGAGGCCUUAGGGUCGAAACGAUCUUAACCUAUUCUCAAACUUUAAAUGGGUAAGAACCUCACCUUUCUUGGUAUGAAGGUAGUGGUUGUGAUAUAAUGUGCCCAGUGGGCCACUUUUGGUAAGCAGAACUGGCGCUGUGGGAUGAACCAAACGUAAUGUUACGGUGCCCAAAUUAACAACUCAUGCAGAUACCAUGAAAGGCGUUGGUUGCUUAAAACAGCAGGACGGUGGACAUGGAAGUCGUAAUCCGCUAAGGAGUGUGUAACAACUCACCUGCCGAAGCAACUAGCCCUUAAAAUGGAUGGCGCUUAAGUUGUAUACCUAUACAUUACCGCUAAAGUAGAUGGUUUAUGUUCAAUUUCGGUUGGAUAAUAAGCUUUGAAACUUUAGUGAGUAGGAGGGUACAAUGGUGAGCAUAGAAGUGUUUGGCGUAAGCCUGCAUGGAGCUGCCAUUGGUACAGAUCUUGGUGGUAGUAGCAAAUAAUCGAAUGAGACCUUGGAGGACUGAAGUGGAGAAGGGUUUCGUGUGAACAGUGGUUGAUCACGAGUUAGUCGGUCCUAAGUUCAAGGCGAAAGCCGAAAAUUUUCAAGUUAAAAUUAAAAAAAUAAUAGAAAUAUAUAUUAUAUUAAUGAAACACUUGAAUAAUUUUGAACGAAAGGGAAUACGGUUCCAAUUCCGUAACCUGUUGAGUAUCCGUUUGUUAUUAAAUAUGGGCCUUGUGCUCAUCCUGGCAACAGGAACGACCAUAAAGAAGCCGUCGAGAGGUAUCGGAAGAGUUUUCUUUUCUGUUUUAUAGUCGUACUACCAUGGAAGUCUUUCGAAGAGAGAUAUGGUAGAUGGACUAGAAGAGCAUGACAUUUACUGUUGUGUCGAUAUUUUCUCCUCGGACCUUGAAAAUUUAUGGUGGGGUCACGCAAACUUCUCAACAGGCCGUACCAAUAUCCGCAGCUGGUCUCCAAGGUGAAGAGUCUCUAGUCGAUAGAAUAAUGUGGAGG
rnacentral:rRNA from 1 species